rnacentral:rRNA from 1 species
AUUGAACGCUGGCGGCAGGCCUAACACAUGCAAGUCGAGCGAGCGGCGGACGGGUGAGUAAUGCCUGGGAAUUGCCCAGUCGAGGGGGAUAACAGUUGGAAACGACUGCUAAUACCGCAUACGAUUGGAUUGCCCAGGUGGGAUUAGCUAGUUGGUGAGGUAAUGGCUCACCAAGGCGACCAUCCCUUGCUGGUCUGAGCGGAUGAUCGGCAACACGGGAACGGGGACACGGUCAAGACUCCAACGGGAGGCAGCAGUGGGGAAUAUUGCACAAUGGGGGAAACCCGGAUGCAGCCAGGCGGCGUGUGUGAAGAAGGCCUUCGGGUUGUAAAGCACUUUCAGCGAGGAGGCGUUACUCACAGAAGAAGCACCGGCUAACUCCGUGCCAGCAGCCGCGGUAAUAC